rnacentral:pre_miRNA from 1 species
CAUGACACUGAUUAGGGAUGUGAUGAAUGUUAAGAUCCCGAUCAAAUUCCUAACGGUGUCAAACA